AUGGUCUACUGUUACAGGAAGAUCGCAGCAGCUGGAGAGGAAGCUCUGAGAGAGAGCGAGGCGGAAUAUUUAGCUAUAACCUCGGAGAGCAAAGAUAAUUCUGUAGGUGUAGCGGUGGCAGAAUAACACAGGACCAAAAAAAGUCUCAAGUCAAAAGCUUGACGCUCUGUCCAUCAUGGCAUCACCAAUGGCCUCCUCGGUCACCCUCACCGGCUCUCUGUGAAACCACAGGGCUGCUGUUUUUACCGUUGUGUACGACUGUGACAGAACCGCCAUUCUAAACCAUCAGGGAAACACACAGUCACACAUUACAUAAAAAGGAAAUGUUUUGUUUUAAGGCUCUAGAUGACAACUUUGAGGUUAACGAAUGAAUGAUGCAUUCACUGGUUCAAGCAUGAAUCUGUAACACUUAACAGAACACUGAACUUGACUUGUACAUACGUGUUUGAGCUUUUAACAU
rnacentral:lncRNA from 1 species